rnacentral:rRNA from 1 species
AUACGUAGGUGACAAGCGUUAUCCGGAUUUACUGGGCGUAAAGGGCGUGCAGGCGGUCUUGCAAGUCAGAAGUGAAAUUCCUGAGCUCAACUCGGGCGCUGCUUCUGAAACUGCAGGACUUGAGUGCUGGAGGGGAUAGCGGAAUUCCUAGUGGAGCGGUAAAAUGCGCAGAUAUUAGGAAGAACACCGGUGGCGAAGGCGGCUAUCUGGACAGUAACUGACGCUGAGGCGCGAAAGCGUGGGGAGCAAACAGGAUUAGAUCCCCUGGUAGUCCACGCCGUAAACGAUGAAUACUAGGUGUCGGGUUUCUAUAGAGAUUCGGUGCCGCAGCAAACGCAAUAAGUAUUCCACCUGGGGAGUACGUUCGCAAGAAUGAAACUCAAAGGAAUUGACGGGG